UCUUCGCAGCUGUUGACAUCGCUUGGCUUUACUUUUUCACGAAGCUCGCGCUUUCAAGAGAGGCUAUUUUCGAAAGUCACACAGCUAUUUUGUAUGAUGUGAUUCUAUUUUCAACCAUUACCGAUCGGCCAAACGAGUUUUUGCCUCUACUCGACGAGGAAAGUUUUGAUUUUUCGUAACGUCUCCUCUUUGAUAUUCAAGAACGUGUACCCCGCGCAGGCGGUGCAGCAAGAUUUCGUUUAUCCACCGCUUGAACCACAAUUUAUUGCGAACGGGGAGUUUUUCCCAACCACACUUUCUCGUUAUUGGCAAUCGCCGGCGGAUAUCACAUUUUUACGGCAUGAUACCAUUGGGAAACCGGGAGGAUCGCUUAUAACACAAGUUUUCGCAUCGGGAGGUCCUGCUUACGACUGGUUCAGGUGCGCUGCUUAUUCGUUGACGUCUUUUUUUGUCAAGUUCAAUAUUCACAAGCAGGAACGAGUCCACUGUGAACGAUCUUUCGUGGCCGGGUUUUUUACCGAACGUCGCGCAAAUUAUUCCGC
rnacentral:lncRNA from 1 species